AAGUCGUAACAAGGUUUCCGUAGGUGAACCUGCGGAAGGAUCAUUACCGGAUUGCCAGCGGCAGGGGAGUUCUUUGAGCUUGUCUGUGCGCAGCAAACACGGCAUAAGUUGAGAGAUAACAGCCUCUGAUAAUACGAGAGAGAGAGAGAGAGAGCCGAUGCUAGGGGAGAGACUAGCGGAGGCGCUGACUAUGCGAAGGUGUCUGAUCUACGCGCCACUUAUGCCCGAAAGGGUUUGGCAGUAGAGUGACUUUGCCCCCCAGGGGGUAAUGCCGCCAGACUUAAUAAGUGAGAUACUACACACUGCCUUCAUAGUCAGUUCGGUGCCGAUUACAUGUGCUUCGAGCUCUAUGUGACUAUGAUAAAUAUUAGAUAUAUAACUAACAGUUGAAAACACAACUGCAAACGGUGGAUCACUCGGCUC
rnacentral:misc_RNA from 1 species